rnacentral:rRNA from 1 species
UACAGAGGUCCCAAGCGUUGUUCGGAUUCACUGGGCGUAAAGGGUGCGUAGGCGGUCGGGUAAGUCUGAUGUGAAAUUUCACAGCUUAACUGUGAAACUGCAUUGGAUACUAUUCGGCUAGAGAGUUGGAGGGGGGACUGGAAUUCUUGGUGUAGCAGUGAAAUGCGUAGAUAUCAAGAGGAACACCAGUGGCGAAGGCGAGUCCCUGGACAACUUCUGACGCUGAGGCACGAAAGCUAGGGGAGCAAACAGG